GCUCUCACCUUUUCCCUGUUGCUCUUGAAGGAACCAGGUGUGCGACUGAUUUCGCUGAGGUGCCCUCCAUCCUCAUGGAGUACUUUGCCACAGACUAUCGGGUAAUCAGCCAGUUCGCCCGUCAUUAUGAGACCGGACAGCCUCUGCCUGAAAGCAUGGUGGCUCGCUGUGUGAGUCCAAGAAGGUGUGCGGAGCGGCAGACACCCAGCUGCAGGUUUUCUAUGCGGCCUUGGACCAGAUCUACCACGGCAAACCGCAGAACCGCUCCACAACCGAAAUCCUCAAGGAGACGCAGGAGAAGUUCUAUGGCUUGCCUUAUAUACCCAACACGGCGUGGCAGCUGAGAUUCAGCCACCUGAUUGGUUAUGGGGCCAAGUACUACUCGUACCUCAUGUCGCGGGCCGUGGCCUCCAUGGUGUGGAAGCAGUGCUUUGUUCAGGAUCCAUUAAACAGGGACAUGGGCGAGCGUUACCGACGGGAGAUGCUGGCCCACGGAGGAGCCAAAGAGCCCAUGCUGAUGGUGGAAGGCAAGUUCAUGUUUUUUUUACAUAAACA